UUUUAGCCCUGAUAAAAGUGGAAAUCCUCCCGAUUUUUUUUUCGGGAGAUUGCAACGGAUAGCAGGAAUAGCU
rnacentral:sRNA from 1 species